AAUGAACGUUGGCGGCAUGGAUUAGGCAUGCAAGUCGAGCGCGAAACGUAGCAAUACGUGGAGAGCGGCGAAAGGGAGCGGAAUAUGUGGGAACCUACCUUCGGGCCUGGAAUAGCGGCGGGAAACUGCCGGUAAUGCCAGAUAACGUCCCCGGACCAAAGGUGUGAUUCCGCCUGGAGAUGGGCCCACAUCCUAUCAGCUUGUUGGUGUGGUAACGGCGCACCAAGGCUAAGACGGGUAUGGGGUGUGAGAGCAUGCCCCCACUCACUGGGACUGAGACACUGCCCAGACACCUACGGGUGGCUGCAGUCGAGAAUCUUCGGCAAUGAGCGCAAGCUUGACCGAGCGAUGCCGCGUGCGGGAUGAAGGCCCUCGGGUUGUAAACCGCUGUCGUAGGGGAAUAACGGUCGAUGGGUUCUCCCAUCGAUUUGAAUGAUCCUAGGAGGAAGGACGGGCUAAGUUCGUG
rnacentral:rRNA from 1 species